AAAAUACAAAGGUCAUCUACCCACAUGAGAGGAGAUGCCUUUUUUUGGAUCCAUUGGGGGAAUCUAAAAGGAACAUUCAGAGAUGCCUGGAGUCAACAAGGGCCUUUAUGCGAAAGAAAGACUGCAAUGUGACAAGGUGGACAUGCAGCACUCUGGCCCAUGCACGCCAGCAAGAUGGCACAUCAUGUGGUGUCCUGGCCUUAAAAUUUGCAGAGAAAAUAUUGAAAGGGCAGCCAAUUAACAUUGAGACGCACCUUUCGGCUGUGAACAAUUUCAGACUGGAUAUUGCCACUAUUCUCCUUCAAGAAACAGAUGAUCUCAGCAAGGUCUGUCACAGCUGUGGGAUGGAGGAGAGCGAUAACCCUCAAUGGGUACGUUUUCACUGUGCAAUACAGUCAGGCUGUGAAAUAGCAGGGAGUAGAUAACAUCAUUAUUGUAGUAAAAUGGAAAAUGUAUUUUGGUGACAAUGCAUAAUGCGUAUGAGUUCAAACAGUGUACCUUCUGUUUUAAUGUGUUUGUGUACAAAUAGGUUGAAUGAUAAAGAGGUAAAAAAAAAAAAAAAUUGUAAUAAGCCCUACAAAUGUUAGUGAAACCAACAAAUACAGAACAGUUUACUUAACUCUUCCAUGACCUACUCCCUCAUUUCAUACAGAAGCUGGAAAAAGGUCUCAGUCCAUUUCAUGUGUAGUAUGAGCAAGUGGAUUCUGUGGCUGUGAAGUCUCGAUAUGGAGCUGUAACAGUGAUAAUGAUGAAUUAUUUAAAUUCGGAAUUUAUAUACAUUUAAUGGCCCAACUUAUCUGCCUCCUCACCUACAUCCUCCUCCCCCACCUUAGAUCUGCUGUGACAUCUGUGAUAGGUGGUUUCACCAUGAGUGUGUCCUGAGGCCAGAUGUGGAUGGGGAUUACCUGUGCCCUGCGUGUUCAUGAUGAGGGGAGUGUUGGAAGUAUUAAACUAUAUUUAUGUUAUCCCCUUCUGCCCAAUAUAUAAUAAUAUUUCUGUUUAUAGAUGUAUAGUUUUUUAUGAGGAGUUACAUUUUAUUACCAAAAAGUGUUCUUGUUUUUGUGUUCACUUUAUUUGACGUUUGACUUUGAAUAUUGUAUAUAUAAAUUAUUUAACUAUUGGUGGAUUUUGUUAUUUGUUUGUAUUAAAAUAACUUGCAUUAUACCUUGUUUGAUAAGAAAUUAUAUUUCUUCUCCUCUGACCUGAAAAAACCUAUUUAAUUACAAGACUGGUUUCAGAUUAUAUUAUCGUAAUACCGAUGUAUUUAUGAUGUUUGGUGUGACAGGGACUUUAUCUCUAUUGUGAGGUAAACUUUGUUAGAGAAGUCCCAUGUACCAAGAGCUGGGGACACUGUACAUACCAAGAAAAACA